rnacentral:rRNA from 1 species
CCCUUAGAUGUUCUGGGCCGCACGCGCGCUACACUGACGAAUGCAACGAGCUUAUAACCUUGGCCGAAAGGUCUGGGUAAUCUCCAAAUUUCGUCGUGAUGGGGAUAGAUUAUUGCAAUUAUUAAUCUUCAACGAGGAAUGCCUAGUAAGCGCAAGUCAUCAGCUUGCGUUGAAUACGUCCCUGCCCUUUGUACACACCGCCCGUCGCUCCUACCGAUCGAAGAGUUAGGUGAAUUGUUUUGAUCGAUAAGAUUUGACUAUGGUCAACUCUCGUUGUGAAAUUCUGUGAAUCUGACUGUUUAGAGGAAGGAAAAGUCGUAACA